UAUGGAAUCUGUCGCAUUGUUCCUCCAUCUUCUAAAGUGAACAAAGAAUGUGAUACGAUACUUGUUAAUGAAGAAUCCUACUUAUGGCAUCAUAGUGCUUGUGAAUUACAGUGUUUAUAGUGAUUAACACUUUUCUGCUCCACUGUUUUAUCAGCAUGCUGAUCGGUUUAGCAUCUGCACAUCUGCUUGUUUACUUUGCCUGGUACAAUUGUCAGCAGAGUUGAGUGGUUUUUAGUUUAUUCAUAUAGAGAGUGGGCAAUAUUAGAUGAAAAAAUAACUUAAUCACAACAUAAAAUAUGACACGACAUUGAACAAUAACAUGAAUAUGACUCAAUUACAAAAUUCAUAGUAAUAUAAAAUACCUUAAACAAGAUUACGACACGGAUACAAAAAUUUCCGGGUCUAUAUGUAUAGAAAAUUUUACUUCAAUUUGGGUCUGCGAAGAAAUGAAAUAUAUGCUUGAAGUAGAGGUCGUGAAGUACAUAUAUUCCUGUAACUUGCUUCAAUUUAAUGGAGAAGGAAUUCAAUAUCUCUAGUAUUAUGUUUCCUUUGAUUUUGUAUUUAUCUAUGCAGCAUACUUAUAAUCUUUGACAUUGCUUUUUAUAGCUCAACUGCUGGGAACAACUCAAGAUCACUUGCAAAUAUUUAACAUAGAGAUGAAAGCAAAAAUGAAGUCACAUCAAAUGCCUGAACAGGUUGUAUUUUGGAAAUGGAUUUCCCCAAAAAUGCUUGGCCUAGUCACACAAACUUCUAUGUAUCAUUGGUCAAUUGAAGAUCAUUCUUCUCUUAUGUAGAAGCCAUUCAUUAGUAUAUUUCAAGGCUGCCAGAUUCAUUCCAGAUAAAGUUUUCAUGAAGCAAAAGAAAUGGGCAGUUCUGAGAAGAAAUUUGCUCGUAAACUCAGUGAGAUCAACGUCGUUGAUGAACAGGUAUUUUGCCUCAUUGAAUCCCCAUCUGGAAAAAAGCUUUUGUUUUUUUUAUUCUUUUAAAUUUUGUUGUUUUAAAAUUGCUGGAACUUAGAGAAGCUUCAGCUAAUAUUGAACCAAAGCAUCAAAACGACGUUGCAGAUUUAAUAAAUAGUUACAAAAGUUUAUACCCAAAAUGGGUUUUUGAUCUCAAGUAAUUUAAAACUCUUAUUUACUUAAUGGUGUAAUUUUGAAUUUCAUUGGAAACUUUAAUUUUUUAGAAUUUGAUCCUCUUAAUUUGCAAAAAUUGGAAAUUUGAUCCUGUUUUUGGUGCAUACAUGCACUUGAACAGUUGGUUUUUGCUAAUUUGUUUUGAUCUCCGAUAGUUUAAAACUCUUAUUUACUUAAUGGUGUAAGUCUGAAUUUCAUUGGAAACUUUAAUUUGUUAGACUUCCAUCCUCUUAUUUUAUAAAAAUUGAAAAUUUCAUUGGUAAAUACAUGAACUUGAACCAUUGAUUUUUGUUAAUUUGUUGCAUAUAAAUCGUUAUAGAAAUCAAAGAUUUAGCCCUAUUGCCGGUAAAUAUAUGAACUAUAAAUCGUUAAUUUUAAUUUAUUUACUAACCUUGUGUUCGAUUAGGUGAGGAAACCAAGUAGUUCAUUUACAAGGCGUGGUUCAAUGAUAUACACCAAGACCCCUUCAAGGGAAUCCUUAUCUGGAAAUGCGAGAUUAUAAUAUAUAUACAUUUGUUUCAAUUUAUUCUGUUGAGUUUACUUGAAAAUUUGUGGAAUUAUGUAUUACUUGCUUUAUUUUUUUAAUAGCUUAUACUGUUAGUGAAUUAGAUAGAUUUACUCCCUAUUAUACCUAUAUCUAAGUUGAAAUUAUAUAUGCCUUUGCAUUCCAAAUAUGAAAAAUUGGAAAUUAGGCAUAGCCUAUUGAAAUUGGUGUUUUGAUAUGAAUGUGUUAUGCUUCUGUUUGUGCAAAUUUGUAUCGUACCAUGGUAGGAUAUUCAACAUUUGAGUUUGUGUUGAACAAAUAUGCAAUGGAAGUGUUUUGCAGGAUUAUCAAAGGAAUUCAUUUUUGAGAUGGUUAUAAUGGGGGUUUUAUUCUACCAAUCAGUUGAUGGGUCUUUUUUUUUGUCCUUUUUCAUUUUCUGCUUUUUUUCUGGUUUUGUAAUGGUGAAUGCAGUAUGGUUGAUGGUUUUGCAGGGGAAGAAGUUCUAUUAAUGGGUAUUUACAAUUGAAGAGUGGUAAGGAUGGUAAGUCCCAUGAAAGGAGUGGACAAGAGACAAAUCAACAGAUGUGAAAUUAUAAAUACCAGCUUGAGCAAGAAGAUUUAUAUCUCAUUCUCAUGCAACAUGCUACCACUUGGGUGAUACAGGUUAAAAAGUUGCAGGAAGAGACCGAUUUGCACUUAGCUCUAGCAAGUGCUAUUGAACAUUGUGGUUCACCUUCUUCUAGUUCUCCAGGCAAGCUUCCGGAUAAGCAAGCAUUACACCAGGGACUGUGUUGAUUUUGUUGGCUGGAAGGUUUAUGGGGAAGAGAGUUGUUUUCUUGAAGCAACUUACUUCUGGGCUCUUUUUGGUCACCGGUGGGCAUUACAUAUUUUACUGCUAUCCUUGUUUCGUCAUUGAUUUGCUUACUGCUUUAAAAUAUUGGAUGUAUGAUAUAUGUUAUUCAAUUGCGAGCUGGAUAUAUGAACAUGUUUGUUAAAACCCUUGUUAUUGAUUUCUGCAGUAUUACUUCCAUAGUUUCUCA